AUGGUCAAGAGAGGUAAGGGCAUAUGGAGGAUGCCUGGGCACUUGGAGCCGAAGAAGGACGCGGCAAGCGGCGAAACGCUCCGGGGAGCCGCAAGCGGGCGGAGAUCCGGAGGUAUCCGAAUGGGGGAACCCACUCGAGGUAAUACUCGAGUAUCCACUGAUGAAGACAUAGUCAGUGGAGGGGAACCGCGCGAACUGAAACAUCUAAGUAGCGCGAGGAAAAGAAAGAAAAGAAUCGAUUCCCUAAGUAGCGGCGAGCGAAAGGGGAGAAGCCCAAACCUGGCACGGAAGUGUCAGGGGUUAGGGCCCACCGUAGGAGCAAGUGAGUACUUUAGGCGAACGGACCUGGGAAGGCCGGCCGGAGAAGGUGAAAGCCCUGUAGUCGAAAGGGGAAAGCUUGCAGGUGGGUACCAGAGUACCACGGGAUAGGCGACCCUGUGGGAAGGAGGGAGGACCACCUCCCAAGGCUAAAUACUACCAAGUGACCGAUAGAGGAAAGUACCGUGAGGGAAAGGUGAAAAGAACCCCGGGAGGGGAGUGAAAUAGAACCUGAAACCAUAUGCCCACAAGCAGUCAGAGUUUGCCGCAAGGCAAAUGAUGGCGUACUUUUUGUAGAACGGGCCGGCGAGUUACGGUAGCAAGCGAGGUUAAGCGUAAAGCGGAGCCGAAGCGAAAGCGAGUCCGAAUAGGGCGAGAGUUUGCUGUCGUAGACCCGAAACCGUGCGACCUACCCAUGGCCAGGGUGAAGCCGGAGUAAGAUCUGGUGGAGGCCCGAACCACGUUGGCGUUGAAAAGCCAUGGGAUGAGCUGUGGGUAGAGGUGAAAUGCCAAUCGAGCACGGAGAUAGCUGGUUCUCCCCGAAAUAGCUUUAGGGCUAGCCUCAGGGUAGGGCCUAUGGAGGUAGAGCACUGAAUGGGCUAGGGGCCAAGGAGGUUACCGAACCCUAUCAAACUCCGAAUGCCAUAGGCAAAUACCUGGGAGUCAGACUGCGAGUGAUAAGAUCCGUAGUCGAGAGGGGAACAGCCCAGACCUCCAGCUAAGGUCCCAAAGGGCAUGUUAAGUGGAAAAGGAAGUGGGACUUCGAAGACAACCAGGAUGUUGGCUUAGAAGCAGCCAUACAUUUAAAGAGUGCGUAACAGCUCACUGGUCGAGAGGUCCUGCGCCGAAAAUGAACGGGGCUCAAACAUGCCACCGAAGCUGGGGCUACCGCGGGAGCGGUGGGGUAGGGGAGCGUACUGUACGGGUAGAAGGUGGAGCGUAAGCGAAGCUGGACUGUACAGUAGAGAGAAUGCCGGCAUGAGUAACGAGAGUAAGGUGAGAAACCUUACCGCCGGAAGCCUGAGGUUUCCUGGGGAAGGGUAAUCCACCCAGGGUAAGUCGGGGCCUAAGCCGAGGCGAGAGCGUAGGCGAUGGGGAACCGGUAGAGAGUCCGGUACCACCGAGGGCCGUUAAGAGAAGUGGGGACGCAGCGAGAUAGGUGGAGCGUGCGGUUGGUAGAGCACGUCCAAUCAGUCACCGAAGGGUACGUAGGCAAAUCCGCGUACUAGCAGGGGGCUGAGAAGGGGAGCCGUAAGGCGAAGCCACCGAAGCAGCUGCCGAGAAAAGCCGCUAUCGAGGUCCGAGGUGCCCGUACUGCAAACCGACACAGGUAGGCGAGGAGAGAAUCCACAGGCGAGCGGGAGAACCCUCAUUAAGGAACUCGGCAAAAUGACUCCGUAACUUCGGGAGAAGGAGUGCCGAAAGGCCGCAGAGAAGAGGCCCAAGCGACUGUUUACCAAAAACACAGGUCUCUGCUAAGUCGGAAGACGAAGUAUAGGGGCUGACGCCUGCCCGGUGCUGGAAGGUUAAGGGGAAGGGUAAAAGCUCUGAACCGAAGCCCCAGUGAACGGCGGCCGUAACUAUAACGGUCCUAAGGUAGCGAAAUUCCUUGUCGGGUAAGUUCCGACCCGCACGAAAGGCGUAACGACUUGGGCGCUGUCUUGAUGAGGGGCCCGGUGAAAUUGUAGUACUCGUGAAGAUGCGAGUUACCCGCGAUUGGACAGAAAGACCCCGUGGAGCUUUACUGUAGCCUGUCACUGGAUUUUGGUAAUUCUUGUACAGGAUAGGUGGGAGACGGAGAAGGUAGGGCGCCAGCCUUACUGGAGUCGGCGUUGGGAUACCACCCUGGGAUUACCGGAAUUCUAACCUAUAGCCGUGGAGCCGGCGUAGGGACAAUGGCAGGUGGGCAGUUUGACUGGGGCGGUCGCCUCCUAAAGGGUAACGGAGGCGUCCAAAGGUUACCUCAGCGCGGACGGGAAUCGCGCGAGAGAGUAUAAAGGCAGAAGGUAGCCUGACUGCGAGAGAGACAUCUCGAGCAGGGACGAAAGUCGGGCUUAGUGAUCCGGCGGCAGUGAGUGGGGACGCCGUCGCUCAACGGAUAAAAGCUACCCCGGGGAUAACAGGCUGAUCUCCCCCAAGAGUCCACAUCGACGGGGAGGUUUGGCACCUCGAUGUCGGCUCAUCGCAUCCUGGGGCUGAAGUAGGUCCCAAGGGUUGGGCUGUUCGCCCAUUAAAGCGGUACGCGAGCUGGGUUCAGAACGUCGUGAGACAGUUCGGUCCCUAUCCGUCGCGGGCGAAGGAAACUUGAGAGGCACUGUCCCUAGUACGAGAGGACCGGGAUGGACGAACCGAUGGUGUACCAGUUGCACCGCCAGGUGCACAGCUGGGUAGCCAAGUUCGGAGUGGAUAAACGCUGAAAGCAUCUAAGCGUGAAGCCCGCCUCAAGAUUAGGUUUCCCACCCGGCACUCAACUAUACUUACUGGAGGAAGGCAAGAUGUAUUAUGUGUAUGUCCUGACAAAUGAAAAAGGAAAGAUAUAUAUAUAGGCUAUACGUCUAAUAUAAAGGAAAGGUAUUUAGCGCAUCAACGAAAAGAAAUAAAGAGUACAAGAGAAGGAAAAUGGAGAUUAGUAUACUAUGAAGCAUAUAGAGAUAAAAAAGAUGCGUUGAUAAGGGAGAAACAUUUAAAAAAGUCAGGACAAGGGCGUAGAUGGCUAAAAGAGAGGAUAAAGAAUAGUCUUUCCACUAGUGAGUAGAGUUGAGUGCCGGGGUAAGACACCUCGAAGACCACGAGGUAGAUAGGCCGGGGGUGUAAGAGUGGAAACACUUUUAGCUGACCGGUACUAAUCAGUCGAGGACUUGACCUU
rnacentral:rRNA from 1 species